UACGGAGGAGGCAAGCGUUAUCCGGAAUUAUUGGGCGUAAAGCGUCCGCAGGCGGCGAUUCAAGUCUGCGGUUAAAGACUGGGGCUUAACCCUGGAAAGGCCGUGGAAACUGAAACGCUAGAGUGCAGUAGGGGUAGAGGGAAUUCCCGGUGUAGCGGUGAAAUGCGUAGAGCUCGGGAAGAACAUCGGUGGCGAAAGCGCUCUGCUGGACUGCAACUGACGCUCAGGGACGAAAGCGAGGGGAGCGAAUGGG
rnacentral:rRNA from 1 species